GAUGAAGAACGCAGCGAAAUGCGAUACGUAAUGUGAAUUGCAGAAUUCAGUGAAUCAUCGAGUCUUUGAACGCACAUUGCGCCCCCUGGUAUUCCGGGGGGCAUGCCUGUCCGAGCGUCAUUGCUGCCCUCAAGCACGGCUUGUGUGUUGGGCCUCCGUCCUCCUCCCGGGGGACGGGCCCGAAAGGCAGCGGCGGCACCGCGUCCGGUCCUCGAGCGUAUGGGGCUUCGUCACCCGCUCUUGUNNNNNCGGCCGGCGCUUGCCGACACAUCAAUCUUUUUUCCAGGUUGACCUCGGAUCAGGUAGGGAUACCCGCUGAACUUAAGCAUAUCAAUAAGCGGAGGA
rnacentral:misc_RNA from 1 species